AUAAAUGAUUUGGUUUUAAACCAAAACAUUGUGUGCAAUCAUAUCUGUCUCUGGUGGUUAAACUUUUUGUCUGCAACGAAGAUCAUGUUUCUUUCGAAAGGAGGCUCUUACUUGAUAUCUCAUGCUGGCAAAAUACCUUACCACCAAUUGAAUACACAAACCUUUGUAUGUUUUUUUUUAAGUCUGAAUCAUUCACUUUUGUGCAAUGAAAAAA
rnacentral:misc_RNA from 1 species